UACGUAGGGACCGAGCGUUGUCCGGAAUCAUUGGGCGUAAAGAGCGUGUAGGCGGCCAAUUAAGUCCUGCGUGAAAUCUCGGGGCUCAACCCCCGAGCGGUCGUGGGAAACUGGUUGGCUAGAGUGCGGGAGAGGAGAGUGGAAUUCCUGGUGUAGCGGUGAAAUGCGCAGAUAUCAGGAAGAACACCCGUGGCGAAGGCGGCUCUCUGGAACGCAACUGACGCUGAGACGCGAAAGCGUGGGGAGCAAACAGG
rnacentral:rRNA from 1 species